CUGUUUUUUAAAAACAUGUCUUUUUGAAUAUAAUAUAAAGUUUGUUCUGCUCAAUGUUUAAAUAAAUUGCCGCAGUAUUAUGACUGUGCUAAGGUAGCAUAAUAAAUUGUCUUUUAAAUGAAGACUGGAAUGAAUGAAUAGAUGAAAUUUAUGCUUUUUUAAAUUUAAAAAUUGAAUUUAAAAUAUAAGUAAAAAAUCUUAAAUGUUUUUAUGGGACGAGAAGACCCUAUAGAAUUUUAUAAAAAUUUUUUAAGUAAUUAUUGAAUUUUUAUUUAAUUGGGAGGAUUUUUAAAUUUAAGAAACUUUAAAAAAUUGAGACAUUAAUGUAUGAAAUUUUAAAUGAAUAUUGAGAUAAAUUAGAAUUAAUUACCUUAGGGAUAACAGCAUAAAAUUUUUUUGUAGAUCGUAUAUAAAAAAAUAUUUAUGACCUCGAUGUUGAAUUAAGGUUAAAUUUAAAAGAAGAGUUUUAAAUAUUAAGUCUGUUCGACUUUUUAAAUCUUACAUGAUCUGGUUU
rnacentral:rRNA from 1 species